rnacentral:misc_RNA from 1 species
AAAAUAAUCCUACCCUUUGUGAAUUUUGUUUGUUUGAAUAAUUUUUUUUUUAAAAAUUAUUGGAGUCUUUCCCUUUAGAGUUUGCUUUUGAGUUUGUAAAAGAAUUCGAAAACAUCUAAAGGGGAUGGUAAUAAUUUUUUUUGAAAAAAGACAUUUUUUAAAAUUAAACUUUUUGUAUUCAUUUGUCUAAAAAUUAUUUUUAUAAUAUAAAAACAACUUUUGACAAUGGAUCUCUUGGUUCUCGCAACGAUGAAGAACGCAGCAAAAUGCGAUAAGUAGUGUGAAUUGCAGAAUACGUGAAUCAUCGAAUCUUUGAACGCAUAUUGCACUUUUUUAGUUUACUAAAAAAGUAUGUCUGUUUGAGUAUCAGUAAAAUAUUCUCAUAAAAAUCAUUGUGUAUUUUAUGGUUAUGAGUGUUUUACAACGAUACAAGUUGUUUCACUUUAAAUUUUUUUUAAUAUUGAAAUUUUUCUAAUUUUAAUAAUUAAAAUUGGAUAAAAUUUUCCCGUCAAAAGGAAUAACCUAAACAAUUUUAAAUGAUUAAUUUUAGCAAAAUUUUCGUAAAAAGGAAAAUUUUUAUUAAAAUAACUUGAUCUCAAAUCAGAUAAGAGUACCCGCUGAACUUAAGCAUAUCAAUAGGCGGAGGAAAGAAACUAACAAGGAUUCCCUUAGUAACGGCGAGUGAAGCGGGAAGAGCUCAAAUUUGAAAUCUUCAAGGUUUUACCUUGACGAAUUGUAGUUUAAAGAAGUGUUUUCUGCUGAAGUUUUGGUAAAAGUUCUUUGGAAUAGGACAUCAUAGAGGGUGAGAAUCCCGUAUUUGACCAUUAUUUUCAGCUUUGUGAUACACUUUCAAAGAGUCGGAUUGUUUGGGAAUGCAGUCCAAAAUGGGUGGUAAAUUUCAUCUAAAGCUAAAUAUUGGCGAGAGACCGAUAGCGAACAAGUACCGUGAGGGAAAGAUGAAAAGAACUUUGAAAAGAGAGUUAAACAGUACGUGAAAUUGUCAAAAGGGAAGCGUUUGACACCAGUGUUGUUUUCUCGAAAAUCAAUUAAAAAUGGCUCGAUUUUGUAUUGCUUGAGACCUUAAAAGCUCACUGUACAUUUUUCGUGUCUUUUUAAUGCACUUUUCGUUUAACAAGUCAACAUCAGUUUCUUUUGCUGUAAAAGGUCAUUGGAAGGUGGCUUCUUUCGGAGAAAGUGUUUAUAGCCUUUGGCCUCUGCAAUCGGAGAGACUGAGGUCUGCAGCGUAGACUCUUCGGGUUAGAUACAUUUGUGCUAAGUUAUAGCUUUUUAUAGACAACUUGUUGACUAUAAUUAGUCUUGUAGCUUACUCGCUUAUGCUAUUUUACCUACGCUUAGGAUG